CUUGUCUUGGGAGCACCCUUUGAUUUUACAUCUGUAAGUAAUUACCAGUUCAAGUAAUUGACCUUUAUGAUGUUGUAGCAGUUGAAAUAUCAAGAUUUCUCUAUUUUUGUCUUCCAGUGCGACUUUCCAAACAUACGGAGAUGGUUGGCUCUUAUUCUUCUGGAGAACUUUGGGGUUUUCUCUGAAAGUGCAGAAACCCUACAAGAGUCCCUUCCAUGUGAAGAACAAGCUACGCUUAGCAGCAGUGAGGCGGAGCUCCCAAUAAUCCGGCACAUGAAAGAAGCUGUGAAAUGGCUCCAUUCCAACAGCCAUCUGCUCAGGGGUCCAGUGGAAGAGCCUCUUUUCAUUCGAAUGAAUGAAGACCACAAGGAAAAGGCCCGCA